GUGUCCGUAGCUCAGCUCGGAUAGAGUGUUGGCCUCCGGAGCCAAAGGUCGUGGGUUCGAAUCCCACCGGGCACGCCA
rnacentral:tRNA from 1 species